UACGUAGGGUGCGAGCGUUAAUCGGAAUUACUGGGCGUAAAGCGUGCGUAGGCGGUUCGUUAAGUUCGUUAUGAAAGCCCCGGGCUCAACCUGGGAAUGGCAAUGGAAACUGGCGGGCUUGAGUAUGGCAGAGGGGGGUGGAAUUCCGCGUGUAGCAGUGAAAUGCGUAGAGAUGCGGAGGAACACCGAUGGCGAAGGCAGCCCCCUGGGCCAAUACUGACGCUCAGGCACGAAAGCGUGGGGAGCAAACAGG
rnacentral:rRNA from 1 species